GCUUUAAGUCUUGGUAAAGCCAGAAACAGUUAACAGUCAGACUGCAUCUCAGCUCUGUCAAGAUGGAUCUCCAUAAUAGCUUCAACGGUUUGGAGCAAAACCCCUGCUCUACCUCUCUGACAAGGUUUCCUCUUUCAAGAAUUCAGAGAAGAGGAAAAGGCUUUGAGGAAACAUCCCCUGCCGAAGCUGUUCCUCAUUCAAUGUUACAGGGCAAUAAUUUGUGCUUUGGACAAUGUUGCUGGUGGAAGAAUGCCUGGGCAAGCUCCUCUAACCAUCUG